rnacentral:lncRNA from 1 species
GAGACUUUUGGGAAUAGGAAUUUAGGAGAAAUUUGGGGAUUUUUUAGGGGGGGAUUUUUGGGAAUGGGAUUUUUUUGGAGAAUUUGGGAUUUUUUGGGGGGGAUUUUUGGGAAUGGGAAUUUUUUGGGAAUUUGGGGAAUUUUGGGGGGAUUUUUGGGAAUUCUGGGGUUUUUUUGGGAAUUCUGGGAUUUGUGGGAUUUCCCUGAGUUGUUCCCAAUCCCGGGGGGGGCUCAGAGCAGAACUCCCCCAAAAAAAUCCUCGUACCGGGGGGUGGGAGGGGACAUUGGGGACAUCAUGGGGACAUUGGGACAUUGGGGACAUCAUGGGGACACUGGGGACAUCAUGGGGACAUUGGGGACACUGGGAACAUUGGGGACACUGGGGACAGCUUUGGGGACAUUGGGGACAUCAUGGGGACACUGGGGACAGCUUUGGGGACAUUGGGGACAGCUUUGGGGACAUCACUGGGGACUUUGUGGGGGGACGCUGGGAUUGUCCCUGACCCUGAGGUGGCACUUUGGGGUGUCCCAAGGUCCCCAUGGGGUGACACAGGCGGUCCUGGUGGCACUUGGGGACAGUGACACGGGUGGCCCUGCGCUCCGAGAUGUGACACUGGGGACACUGGGGACAGUCACAGCUGGUCCUGGUGGCGCUUGGGGACAGUGACACGGGUGGCCCUGCGCUCCGAGAUGUGGCGCCGCACGCGGCCCGGCGGCGGCUCCGGGGCCAGCGAGGGGCUCGAGUGGCACUUGGUGAGCGGCGCGGGCGCGGGGGGACACCCGGUGACAUCCCCGGGGGGACACCCGGUGACAUCCCCGGGGGGACACCCGGCCACGUCCCCG